rnacentral:rRNA from 1 species
GUCUAUGGCUAUGCUACCCUGAACAUGCCCAAUCUUGUCUGAUCUCAGAAGCUAAGCAGGGUCGGGCCUGGUUACUACUUGGAUGGGAAACCACCUAGGAAUACGAGGUGCUGUAAGCU